GGAAGAAAGGAAGGAAGAAAGGAAGGAAGGAAGGAAGGAAGGAAGGAAGGAAGGAAGGAAGGAAGAGCUUGUCACAGAUGAGAUCUGCAGUUGAGGAAAAAGCUUGUCCCAGAUGAGAUCUGCAGUUGCGAUAUUACAAGAACUCAGAGGGUCCAAUCCAGGAAGAAGCUGUUUCCUGGGAAAGAGGAGCAUGUGAAGAAGGCAUCACUAUGAACCUGAAGUCCAGUGGGGAUCCAGCAGACACCAAUCCUUCUGGAGAAAAUGUUGGAUGGCUUUGUUCAGAGCAUAAUGAUUACCCCAUAUACCUGCAUAUCCUGCCAUCAACAAACUGCUUGAUACUCCCUGCACUAGGAUCUGGGAUGGGUGAGGGGCUAUGCAGCAGUAGAGGCUCCAAUUUAUGUAUUGAGUAUCUAAUAUAUGUCAGGCACUGUGCUCAGCAUUUAUAUUUAUGUCAGAAUUAGCCCAUUUCAUCCCACAAUGUGGUAUAUUAAUCCCCAAUUUACAGAUGAAAAGACUGAGGCUCAAGUUCCUACAACUAGUUAAAUGGUAGAAAUGAGAUUGGGACCCAUGUUUAUAUUCUACCUUGAUUUCCAGCUUGAGCAGCUUAGAGUUUUGUUGGGUAAUUAAGGAAUACAUGCUUGAAAAAGCAAAUAAUAAUACAAGAGGGUGCCUUCUAUUGUCCUCCACAGGUACUUGUGCUUAUGAAGCAGCCUCAUUGUCUGAGGUGAUACCCGAGGUUCAUUGUCUGAUGCUCAAGGAAAUCAAGGAUGAAGACACACAAGGAGUGAGGUUAAAAACAGAGGUUUAACAGGCAAAAGAAAGAGAAGAGCUUCCUCCUGCAGAGAGAGGGGUCCCAAACAAGUUUCUGCUUCCACGGUGAAAUGCAGGGGGUUUUAUAGAUGAGCUGGUUAAGGGUAGGUGUGCCAUUUGCAGAGAUCAUGGAUUUUUGGCUGUCCUCACCCUAAUUUUUUACUAUGCAGAUGGAUUCUUUGCCUGACAGGUGCUGUGUUGCUUGUUUCUUUACUGUACACGUGGUAACAAAGUAAAGGGAAGAUAGAGCCUCCAUAUUGGACAUGCCUGGCACCCAGGUAGCCCUUUUCUAUUGGCACAGCUGCCAGCACUCACCCGUGUAAGCGUCCAUGUUGCUUAUCUAUGUUUGCAGCUCAAUUUUUCAGGCUGCUCUUUGUUAGAAAAAAAUAAUUUUGGGGGCUGCUUUUGUUCAAAGGGAAACCUUGCCAAGGACUCUUUGACCCUCACUAUCUGCCUAAAUAAUUUCUUUCUAUGUCCUGUAACACUUAUAUCUAUCUGAAAGUCCCACCUCCAACUUGGAUCCUAAGCCUGUCCACUUCUCUAAAUUUCCACUGUCAUCUACCCCAAGGCACCCCAGCUCUCAUCUGGAUGAAGCACUGGGGUUGAGACUGAGUACAGGUAAAGUCUUGACAGAAAGAAGUGGGGUCCCCACAGUCAGGUUUUUUACAAUCAGGGUGUAGUAGGCAGAGGUCCAUGAGCUGUCUCCUGACAUCUGCUUAUCCUUCUGCUCUAAUAGAUUCUCUGGUUGGCAGCUGGGUAAAUAGAUGCCCAGAAUAAAGGCUACAUUUCCCAGCCAACUUUUCAGCUGCAUGUGGUCUUGUGGCUGGGUUUGGGCCAAUUGGAUUUGAGUGAAAGUGACAAAGGCAACUUUUGGCUCCAGCCCUUAAGGGAAAAGGGUCUGACUACCCUCCCCAUACCCCCUCACCCCCAUCCCUUCCACUGGCAGGAAUGAGGACAUUGAGGUGAGCUCUUUCAGACCUUAUGAAUAAGGUGACACAUGGGGAAUGGCAAAAUGAAAGUUUCAUGUGAGAGGAAAAUAAACUUGUUUUGUCUUUUGGAGUUUUUCUUAUAUGUGUAUCCUAAUAAAUAUAAGGGAAGAAAAAUAUUGAACAAAUCGUCACUCAAGUAUACUAAGUACAAAUUAUAAUAAAUGCAAUGAAAGAAACACGCAUAGAGUUUUCCUGAGAAUAUAGCAGGGGAGGACUGGUUUCCAAUUAUCAGUCAAGGAAGGCUUCUCUGAGGAAGGGACAUUUAAGCUGGGGUUUACUGGAUGAGUAGAAUUUAGUCAGAUGAAAUAGGCCAGGAAACAGUGCCUGUGAAGAUUCUAAGGCCAUAGAAUUUGGUCACUGGUGGGAACCCAAGAAGGGCCCUAUGAGCAGAGCUCCACAGCAAAUUUUUAAUCAGUUUUCAAUUGCACAAGUGUCUCCCCGACUGAUGGGUGCUUCAGCCUGGGCCCCCCAGAACCUAGACUUGAGACAGCAAAGCUCAUUCCAGAUACGUUGAGGGAUGAGUCAGGUACCUCUCGAUGGAUCUGGAGGACAGAGGCAAAAUCAGAGAAGCUGAAUCUGUAGUGGAGUCCCAGGAUCAAGUGUGGGCCUGGGAAAGAGGGGAAAGCAGGGGGCUGGAACCAAAGAGACCCAGGAGUGGAUCAGGAGGUGCAGAGCCAGGCAGGUGUGGAAGCUGCAGCUGGGAGGUUUCAGACAUAACCAGGCUGGUUGUCUGGGGCUACUUUUUACUGGGGUUUUGUUGUGUGCAAGUGGCUCACAGUUUCCUUGCCAUCUCUGAUGUGUGUCAGGCACAGUGGCAAAUGCUCUCCAUGCAGAAUCUUGCCUCAUCCUCACACACUGAGUUUAUGCAGUGGGUGUAAUCCCCAUUUUACAAAUGAAGACACUGAGACUCAGAGAGGGCCAGAGUUGUCCAGAGUCACCAAGUGGGUGAAACCGGGCUGAAGGGGUGGAGCUUGUGGGUGGGGAGGGUUUGUGUGACCCCCUAAUCCCUGACCCAAGGCCAUAUGGGGAAACACAACACAUUCAACCUUUCCAGGGGACCGCGUGGGUGGGGAUUGCAUGCUUUUGGCCUGGUGGUGUCUCUUGCCCUCACACCACAACAAUUAUCAACACAGAUGGACUUCUGUGACCAAAUGUCAUCCUCAUCACCAAGUGAGCAAUCAAUUUGGCAGCAGAAACUAGCCAGGUAUCCUCUGAUUCAAUUCUGACACUAUUUACCUAGAGAUGGCAUCAGAUCCCACAAGAUGAGGGCUCAGUCUCUAAGAAUGCCCCUGCCCCUUAGUUCAGACACCAGUCGUAAGUCCCAGCUUCUGCAGCUGCUGACUGACUGGCUUCAAGUUGGGGUUCCUGCAUCCCCUCUUUGGGUUUGAUUAUUUGCUAGAGCAGCUCACAGAACUCAGUAAAACACUUAACGUUUACCAGUUUACUAUAAAGGCCAUCACAACGGAUGCAGAUGAAGAGAUGUGUAGGGCUGAAGCGGCGUUGUUGUCUGGGGUGAUAUCUGAGCUUCACUGCCUCAUGCCAAGGGAAUCAAGGAUGUGGACACACAGGAGUGAGUUUAAGAGUGGAGGUUUAAUAGAGAGAAAGAGAAAAGCUCUUUCCCCUGCAGAGAGAGAGAGGCUCCCACGUGGAUCUUCUGGCUUUGUGGUUAAAUGCACAGGGUUUUAUAGAUAAGCUUAAGGAGGCGGUGUCUGAUUUAUGUAGGGCCCAAAAGAUUGGUCAGACCAGGUGUGCCAUUUACGUGAAGAAGUUGGCCACCCCACCCUAAUCUUUAUUAUGGCUAUGGGCUCUCUACCUGGUCAACACAAUGUUGUCUGUUCCUUACUGUACAUGUGGUUGACAAAGAAAAGGGAAGAUGAAGCCUCCAUGUUGAACAUGCCUGGCCACCAGGUGGCCUUUUCUUACUGGCACAGCUGCUGGCAUUUACCUGUGCAAGCUUCUAGCUUGCUUUUCUAUGUCUGCAGCUUUAUUUUUCAGGCUGCUUUUUGUUAGAAAAGAAAUGAUUUAGGGCCUGCUUUUUGUUAAAAAGGAAGCCUUACCAAGGGCUCUAUUACCCUCACUAACUGCCUAAAUAAUUUAUUUUUAGCUCCUGUAUCAAAGCGAGGUGUGAGGGAAGGAGCUCAGAGCUGCCAUGGCCUCCCAGUGAGCCACCCUCCAGGAGCCCUCAUGUUCCUCUUGGGUUUCUAAGGAGGCUUCAUUACAUAGGCAUGAUUGAUUAAACCAUUAGCCAUUGGUGGUCAACUUGACCUUCAGCCCUGCCUGCUCCCAGGAGAUUGGGGGGUGUGGCUGAGAGCCCAACCCUCUAACCAUGCCUUGGUCUUUCCCUAAAGCUAUCAGUCAACACUAGCAUACAAAAAGACAGUACUUUGGAGAUUCCAAGGAUUUUAGGAGUUGUAUGCUAGGAAAGGGGACCAAAUAAUAUUUCACAGAAUCACACCUGGCAACAAAAGAUGGCCCAUCCACAGCACUGUUUAGUUUCAUUGGCCAAUGAUUUGAAAAACUCUUAGACGUACCAAAAUUGUUAGAAAUACCAAAAUUGUUAGAAAUAAAUAAUCAGUGCCAUGAAGAAUAGCCAGCACGGAGACAAAAUAUUUCUCAGCAAGGCAAUCUUUACUUUCUGCUAAAAGGGUGCUCAGUCACAGAUGGAACAAUGGUGAGAGCACACCUGAACAAAGGAAAAGCAGACAUAUUUAUCCCUUAUGAAUUUGGGUCAUCCUUACUGCUCUGUCCUGCAUCCAUUGGCUGGAGCGGGACCUCACAGUCUUAAACCGAUAUCUGAUUUGCUAAUAGUCUAAAACUUUCCUAAAUAGGUAAGUGCAGGGAAGAACAAAGGAUAGGAAGUUGCUUACAAAAGGUUUAAGGAAGGAAUAACAUUUCCAAAUAAGGAAG